rnacentral:tRNA from 1 species
CAGGGAGACAACAAAAUGUUUAAUAUUAUUAUUUUGUCACCUUAGGUCGAUCGGUAUCUCACGUUUUUAAUUUAUUAAGAAUUUCAUUUCCUAAGUUUUUCUAGGUCACACCCAUUAUUUUUCCUGGGCCAUUAGCUCAGGUGGUUAGAGCGCACCCCUGAUAAGGGUGAGGUCCCUGGUUCAAGUCCAGGAUGGCCCAUAUCUCUAUGUUGGGGGUAUAGCUCAGUUGGUAGAGCGCCUGCUUUGCAAGCAGGAUGUCAGCGGUUCGAGUCCGCUUACCUCCACUGAUUACCACCUCUUCCAUAACCGGUAGAAAGGAAAUGUUUUGAGUUGUGAUCAAAUUCUGAAAGAAUCUAGCUUCCUAAUGAAAUCAUUAAGAUGCUGGACACAUUGAAUUUAUUUCAUUGUUUUCAGAGAACCUUGACAACUGCAUAGAUUAUUUUUAAAGACAAUAAGCAUCUUUAAUGAUGCAGAUUUAUUAUUUGUGCGAAUGCAUUAAUAACAAUUCUAUUAAGCUGAUGCUUCAUUUUUGAAGUUAUU